AGGAACAAUUGGAGGGCAAGUCUGGUGCCAGCAGCCGCGGUAAUUCCAGCUCCAAUAGCGUAUAUUAAAGUUGUUGCAGUUAAAAAGCUCGUAGUUGAACUUUGGACUUAUAUUACUAGUCAGAUGGAAAUCUAGUACUAGAAAGAAUAUAAGUCUUUCCUUCUGGGUAAAUUAUUAAAAUUUUAAUAAUUGAACCAGGACGAUUACUUCGAAAAAAUUAGAGUGUUCAAAGCAGGCGGGAAGCAUGAAUAUAUUAGCAUGGAAUAAUAGAAUAGGACGUUUGGACCUAUUUUGUUGGUUUCUAGGACCAUCGUAAUGAUUAAUAGGGACGGUCGGGGGCAUCAGUAUUCAAUUGUCAGAGGUGAAAUUCUUAGAUUUAUUGAAGACUAACUACUGCGAAAGCAUUUGCCAAGGACGUUUUCAUUAAUCAAGAACGAAAGUUAGGGGAUCGAAGAUGAUCAGAUACCGUCGUAGUCUUAACCAUAAACUAUGCCAACUAGGGAUCGGGUGGAGUUUAAAUAGAGACGCACUCGGGACCUUAAGAGAAAUCAAAGUAUUUGGGUUCUGGGGGGAGUAUGGUCGCAAGGCUGAAACUUAAAGGAAUUGACGGAAGGGCACCACCAGGAGUGGAGCCUGCGGCUUAAUUUGACUCAACACGGGGAAACUCACCAGGUCCGGACACAAUAAGGAUUGACAGAUUGAGAGCUCUUUCUUGAUUUUGUGGG
rnacentral:rRNA from 1 species